UUUUGUUUCUUACGAUCUCUUCAAUCCCUAACCUAACACUCCCCCUCACUCUCUCUCACUCUUCUCUCUCUUUAUCUCUUUGGCCUACGUCGUCGCCUCUGGUGCCGCCACCGACGACCACCACUACCGCCGCCACACCUCCUCCCUCACCACCAUCUCUCUCGUUGCCUCAGUGAUUUCAAUUCAUCUCAGAGAGGGGGCGAGAGAUUCAUUUCAGAGCAAUUUCGCUUUUGAUUUCAAAGUUCUCUCUCAAUUUCGAAGUUCUGUCUCUCUCAAUUUUGAAGACCCACCGCUACCAUGGUCUGCACUAGUGAGAGUGAGCACCAUCAUCUACUAAGAUAAGGAUCGAAAAUUGGGAUUAGAACGCCUUAGGUAGAAGGCAGUUGAAGAGAGACCUGUGUGAUGGAGGCCUGAUAGAUUAGAAGGUGAAAAUGCCCACACUUCUAAUCUCAACUCUGUUUGCCUUACUGCUUUUGUUUAAUUUUCAGGCUUCUUAAUCCUCGCACAUUUGCUGGAUGGUUUGGGCGGUCUCAGUUUGAGCUACGUGUUGUUUCAUCAAUCCAUUUCUAUUGUUGUGUGAAUUUCCCUUUUGAAGUUAAAAACAUGUUAAAUUGGUUGAAACUCAUCAAAAUCAAUCAUUUUUUAUAAUACGCAUGUUAUAUCUUAAGUUCUGAUAAAUCUCAAGCUUCCAUAAUAAGGUUGGAUUCCUGGAAUAGGUGAUGUUAUAUCAAAAUCUUAGUUGCUCGAAGUGGGAAUGGGGGUACAUAGAAGAGUCUAAGGUUGAGAGUACCUAUGGAAGUGUUUACAUAAAUUCAUAUAAAAUAUUAUGUUUUAAGUCUAUUUUUUUUGGUGGAUAGUUGUAAUGUAUAUAUUAAACAUGAAUAAAUAACAGAGUUUUGUGUCAAGUGCACAUUCUUUUUAUUUAAAUAUCAACAACUAUUUUGUUAAUACAAAUUACAAGAAUAAGUUUGAGCUAAUUUUUUCUCUAUAAUCUGAUGGUUGUUGUAGAUUUUCUUUUGCUUGGUAGCUUUUGUUUAAAUAUAUUAGACUCAAAUAGGGUUCCCGAUUUGGGAGUUAGAGCCAAAUUUCACUCUAGACAAAUUAGUUUCUUAAGAAACUUAGAAUUCAAGGUGUUAACGCCCCAAAAUCACCAAACAGCGUCGGAGUAGCA